rnacentral:rRNA from 1 species
UACGUAGGGCGCAAGCGUUGUCCGGAAUUAUUGGGCGUAAAGAGCUCGUAGGCGGUUUGUCGCGUCUGCUGUGAAAACUCGAGGCUCAACCUCGGGCUUGCAGUGGGUACGGGCAGACUAGAGUGCGGUAGGGGUGACUGGAAUUCCUGGUGUAGCGGUGGAAUGCGCAGAUAUCGGGAGGAACACCUAUGGCGAAGGCAGCUCGCUGGGACGUUACUGGACGCUGGAGAACGCGAAAGCGUGGGGAGCAAACAGG